UACGUAGGGAGCAAGCGUUGUCCGGAAUCAUUGGGCGUAAAGCGCGCGUAGGUGGCCACAUAAGUCCGUUGUGAAAGUCAAAGGCUCAACCUUUGAAAGCCGAUGGAUACUGUGUGGCUAGAGUACGGAAGAGGCGAGUGGAAUUCCUGGUGUAGCGGUGGAAUGCGCAGAUAUCAGGAGGAACACCAAUAGCGAAGGCAGCUCGCUGGGACGUUACUGACACUGAGGCGCGAAAGCGUGGGGAACAAACAGG
rnacentral:rRNA from 1 species